UACAUGGGGUGCAAACGUUGCUCGGAAUUAUUGGGCGUAAAGCGCGCGUAGGCGGUUAUCUAAGUCGGAUGUGAAAGCCCUCGGCUUAACUGAGGAAGUGCACCCGAAACUGGGUAGCUAGAGUACUAAAGAGGGUCGCGGAAUUCCCGGUGUAGAGGCGAAAUUCGUAGAUAUCGGGAGGAACACCGGUGGCGAAGGCGGCGACCUGGGUAGAUACUGACGCUGAGGCGCGAAAGCGUGGGGAGCAAACAGG
rnacentral:rRNA from 1 species